AAUGUGGACUUCAUUUUUGGAUUGAACUCAAGUUAAUUGAAAUUGCCGACAACGUCAGCCAUGAAGUUUACAUCAACUCGCAAUGAAGACAAACUGCCACCAGACAGGAGGAGGAGCAACAGUCCGCUUGCAGAUGGAAACAAGGGUGGGUGGUUGGAA
rnacentral:lncRNA from 1 species